UACGAAGGGUGCAAGCGUUAUUCGGAAUUACUGGGCGUAAAGCGUGCGUAGGUGGUUUGUUAAGUCUGAUGUGAAAGCCCUGGGCUCAACCUGGGAACGGCAUUGGAAACUGGCUUACUAGAGUGCGGUAGAGGGGUGUGGAAUUCCCGGUGUAGCAGUGAAAUGCGUAGAUAUCGGGAGGAACAUCUGUGGCGAAGGCGACACCCUGGGCUGACACUGACGCUCAGGCACGAAAGCGUGGGGAGCAAACAGG
rnacentral:rRNA from 1 species